GCCCUAUGUUCCAUUUAUCAUAAUCAUGUUUAGUCAAUUAACCAUGGUUCCAUCGUUGAUUUCAGAUCAUAUAUAAUUGGAGUUAGAGCACUAGCACUUCUACCCAUAUGCAAUAAAAACCCUUGGGAACAAGGUAAUUGUCAUCAACAGCUAGGAUGUCCUUAUAGUUUGCAAUAUUGUACACAUGUAGGGUGAAAUGCUUAAAAAUGAGUAGGACAACAAGAUAGGCCCAUGCUAUACUUGCCUUGGUUCACGUACUCCUGCUGGUCUUGCUGGUCCCCAAAGAGCUCCGGACUCCCGAAAUACUCCUCACCGUCUGAGCUCGACCAACACAUCACAAUCAUCACGCAUACCAAGACAAACAUGCAAGAGAACAAUUCCUAAAGUUAGAACAGUACACCAGCAGUAAAUAAAUUAAAUAAAAGUUUUCCAAAAUCAUCUACGUGCUGCUACGAUCACGUCAACGUGAAAUUUACGAAAAACGGACUUACGACGCGAAAGUUACGCUCUUAACAGGAUUUCAACAGCAAUCUACGGACUUGUAAUUAACUAGGAAAUCUAACAGUGGUAAACCUAAACAAUAGUGGUACCAACGCGAAGCUUACGAAAUUACGAAACUAACGCAACUUGAACGGAUCAAUUCGGAGUUCAAACGACAAUUUUAUAGCUAAAACAAUAUGGUGGCAAUUCUAUAAAUAAAGCAGAGUUUAAACGAAUUUAAAUAAAUAAAUUAAAUCCUGGAAAUUCCUCUGGCCGAGGACUGCGCGCGCGAAAAUGGGAUUCCUGGGGUGCUCUUUAACAAAAUAUCAUAUGAAGGGGUACGGGGAAGUGUAGGCCGUUGGAUCACAGAUGAACGCGCUGAAUUAAAAGAAAAAAAAAUAAAAGAGAGAGAGAGAGAGAGGAAGGGGACGGCGCACAGGGCAGCUCCGGCCAGAACAUGGUGGCCACCAUGGCCGGCCGCAAGGAAGCUCGCCGGAGCAAGAGAAUAAGGACCUACGGUGCAUGGUUUUCGAUUCCGUUUGAACUGGGAGAAAGAGGAGAGCGAUGCGAGUCCAUUCCACCCCAUAAACGCGGUCGAGGAGGCGGUUUCCGAGAAGGUUCAUGGCGGCGCCAUGAACGUCCCGUCGGAGCUCGCGGAACAGGGACUCCGGGCCACGAUUCACUCGGCAACAGGACGGGGAGGGAGCGGGAAGGGAGAUGAAGCUCACCACGGCGCCAAAUCGCAGCGAAAACGGCUCGCAACGGCGGCCUACGCGCGGCCGACGAAGAACUUCCCGGCGACGGUUCUCUGCGCAGAAACGAGCGGGGCAUGGGCAAAGGAGAAGAGAGAAUGGGGGAGGGGGAGUGCUCGGGUGCGCGAGGGGCUCUCCAACUUGAAGACCGAAGCACGGGGAGAGGAGAACGUGGGCGCGGGGGCUUCGGCCUGGCGGUUCCAACCGAGAGAAAGGUUCGGGGGCGACGGUUUGGGGGCAGGGAUAGAGCUGACAAGUGGGCCCUACUCGUCAGUAGAAGAGAGAGAGGGAGUUAGGGUGCUGGCGGGCUGCUGGAAUUGGGCCAAGCAGGCCGAAAAUGAGGGGAAGGGAGAGAGGAAAGUUUUUCCUUUUUAUUUUCCAACAAAAAUUUCAAACUCUUUUCCAAAUGAAUUUUUGAAUUCAAAUUCCUUUCUUCAAAACCACUCAUCACAUAAAAGAAAUGCACCAGCAUGUAUACAACAAAAUAUUAGCCUGACUUAUAUUUAAUUUUAAUUUCUCCAAAUUUAUUUAUUUUCCUAUAUUGAAAAUGCUCACAAAAUUAUUUAAUAAAGUCAAAUUCAUCUAUUUUUAAAAGAGCCAAAUUUUGGGUGUUACAAUUCUACCCCCCUUAAAAAUAAUCUCGUCCUCGAGAUUGGGUGGUGCUUACUCAAAUAGUUGUGGAUACGACUUUCUCAAAUCCUCUUCUCUUUCCCAGGUGGCUUCAUCUAGGGUAUAACAGUUCCACUGUACUUUACACAUCUUUAUGGUUCUGCUUCUUGUAACUCUGUUUGCAGUUUCCAAGAUCUUUAUCGGGUACUCUUCAUAUGUGAGAUCUUCUUUAAUGGUCAACUCUUCUAUAGGAAUCUGCUCUUCGGGUACCCGCAAACAUUUCUUCAACUGAGAAACAUGGAAUACAUCAUGUACACCUGACAAACUCUGAGGAAGUUCUAACUGAUAGGCUACUUCUCCACGUCUUGCAAGAAUCCUGAAAGGUCCAACAUAUCUCGGUGCUAGCUUACCCUUCACAUUGAAUCUCUUCACACUCCUCAUUGGAGAUACCUUCAGAUAUACAAAAUCACCCUCUUUGAAGCUCAAGUCCCUUCUUCAGGUGUCGGCAUAACUUUUCUGCCUUGACUGUGCCACUCUUAGAUUGUCCCUAAUCAUCCUCACUUGUUCUUCAGCACUUCUUAGGACGUCUGGUCCAAACACCUGUGUUUCACCAGUUUGAUUCCAGAAUAAAGGUGUCCUACACUUGCGUCCAUACAAAGCUUCAAAUGGUGCCAUCUUGAGACUCUUCUGGUAGCUGUUGUUAUAGGAAAACUCAGCAUACGGCAGACUUUUGUCCCAACUAGUACCAUACUGCAGAGCACAAGCUCUAAGCAUAUCCUCCAAGAUCUGAUUAACUCUUUCUGUCUGCCCAUCAGUUUGGGGAUGAUAAGCAGAACUAAAGUUCAGCUUAGUUCCCAAGGAUCUAUGUACUUUAUGCCAAAAGUGCGAUGUAAACUGAGUUCCUCGGUCGGACACGAUCUUCUUUGGAACUCCGUGUAAGCACACAAUCCUUUCCAUGUAUAGCUCGGCUAACCUUGCCCCUUUGUAGUUGGUUUUGACUGGUAAGAAAUGCGCAACCUUAGUGAGUCGGUCUACUAUUACCCAAAUCGAGUCAUAUCCACGUUGAGUAUGUGGCAACCCGGUAAUAAAGUCCAUACCGACUUCUUCCCAUUUCCAUUCGGGUUCUGCAUUGGUUGCAACAACCCUGCAGGUCGUUGGUGCUCAGCUUUCACCCUCUGACAGGUGUCACACAAAGCAACAUACUCUGCUACAUCCCUUUUCAAUCCAUACCACCAAUAUAUCUCCUUUAGGUCCAAAUACAUCUUGGUACUCCCAGGGUGUAUUGAAUAAGCAGAGUCAGGCGCCUCACGUAGAAUUGUGUCUCGGAUAGCCUUCACUUCAGGCACACAUAUCCUUUUCCCAAACCAUAGGGUACCAUUCUCAUCUAUCCUGAAGCCUGGUGCCUUUCCAAGCACUACAUUAUCUGCUAUCUCUUUUAAUUUCUCAUCCUCCAACUGACUCUUACGUAUCUCUUGUUCCAAUGUUGGCUCUAUCUCUAGACCCAUGGUUUGAUUCACAAAGCCUAUGUUGAGGUGUUCUAUUUCGGCUCGCAACUCGGCUGGAAUAAAUGUCAGCUGAAGUCUGUUGACAUAGCUUUUCCUACUGCAUCUGCAACUACAUUUGCUUUCCCAGGGUGGUAAUGCACUUCCAGGUCGUAAUCCUUGAUCAGCUCUAACCAACGACGUUGCCUCAGAAUCAGGUCUGACUGGGUGAAGAUAUACUUUAGGCUCUUAUGGUCUGUGUAAAUGUCACACUUAUGACCAAUCAAGUAAUGCCUCCAAAUUUUUAAAGCAUGGACCACUGCGGCUAGCUCCAGAUCAUGAGUAGGGUAAUUCAACUCAUGUUUCCUCAACUGCCUAGAUGCAUAGGCCACUACUCUUCCUUCUUGCAUGAGCACACAACCUAAACCUAAGCGAGAAGCAUCACAAUAGAUGGAGAAGCUCUUGCUUAAGUCAGGUAGGGUCAACACUGGAGCUGUGGUCAACCUCUUCUUUAACUCCUCAAAGUUAGCCUGGCAUUUGUCUGACCAAACAAACUUAGCACUCUUCUCUAAUAAGGCCGUCAUGGGCUUAGCAAGUUUAGAGAAUCCUUCAAUGAAUCUCCUAUAAUAUCCGACCAAUCCCAGAAAACUACGGAUUUCACUCACAUUGGUUGGGGGUUUCCAAUUCAACACAUCUUGCACCUUGCUGGGGUCCACGGCUAUCCCUCCAUUAGAGACCAAGUGUCCCAGAAAGGAGACCUCCUGUAGCCAAAACUCACACUUGCUUCUUUUGGCAUAUAGCUUAUGUUCUCUAAGCUUCUACAAGACCAGCCUCAGAUGCUCUGCAUGUUCCUCUUUAGUUUUGGAAAAGAUGAGUAUGUCAUCAAUGAACACCACUACAAACUUAUCCAAGAACUCCAUGAACACCUUGUUCAUGAGAUACAUGAAAUAUGCGGGUGCAUUGGUUAGCCCAAAAGACAUAACUGUGUACUCAUACAGGCCAUACCUAGUAGUGAAGGCUGUCUUAGGUACAUCCGAGGCACGGAUUUUCAGUUGGUGAUAACCGGAUCGAAGGUCUAUUUUUGAGAACACACAAGCACCUUUUAACUGAUCAAACAUAUCAUCAAUUCUAGGCAAAGGGUACUUGUUUUUGAUGGUUACUUCAUUUAGUGACCGGUAAUCCACACACAUUCUCCUGGUACCAUCUUUCUUAUCGAGAAAGAUAACGGGUGCUCCCCAAGGUGAUGAACUAGGACGAAUGAAACCCUUCUCUAGCAACUCCUUAAUUUGUUUCUUAAGUUCCUCUAGUUCAUUCACUCCCAUUCUAUAAGGUCUUUUAGCUAUAGGUGCAGUUCCAGGUAAAAGUUCAAUAAGGAUUUCGAUGUCUCGGUCAGGUGACAUACCUGGCAAUUCAUCAGGGAACACAUCAGGGAAGUCAUCCACCACUUGGUUCUCCUCAUUGACCUCAUCAGUCAACUGGUUCAUGGUAGCAGUUGGAGGUGCUUGCACUACCACUUCUACACAAAUUCUAUGCCCUUUAGGUGAUGUUACUUCCACAGACUUCUCCUGGCAUUGAAUCACUGCCCGAUGUUGCUUCAUCCAAUCCAUCCCCAGGAUAAGGUCAAUACCGGAAGUUCUUAGCACAAUGGGGUUUACUUUGAACUCUACCCCCCUUAGAGAAACACUAGUGGAGGGACUCCAAUAGUUCGCUGGCAUAGUACCCCCCGGUGAAUUCACUAGCAUUGAGUUUUUCAUGGCACAUAAAGCUAUGCUAUGUACUCUAACAAAAGCUUGCGAGAUGAAAGAAUGCGAAGCUCUAGAAUCAAAAAGUACAGUAGCAGGGAUGGAGUUGAUACUGAACGUACCCAGCAUGACCUCGGGUGCCUCCUGAGCUGAUUCAGUAGACACAUGGUUCACACUUCCAGUGUGGGGUGGUCGAGCAUUGGGCCUCUGAUUGUUGUUCUGAUUCUGUGGAGCUGAGGGGUUCUGCUUCUUCGGGCACUUAUGGGCAUAGUGACCCACUUCACCACAACGGUAGCAAGCAUUGGGGUUGUUUGCCACUGCUGUAUUCACUGGAGCAUUGUUGGGCACACCUGGACGUGGUGCCUGGGGGUUAGCUUGCUGCUGAGGGCGUUGAUUACCAAACUGCUGCUGGUACUGGGGACGCUGCUGGUUCUGGUUUUGGUUGCGCGGAGGGUACUGGCCCUGAUUCCACUGACUAGGGGGCCUCUGGUUCCUGGGAGGAAAGCCCUGCUGAGGAAACACACGCGGACGAGUGUUGCUGCUAGAUGCCUGCCCCUGAAUCUUCCUCUUCUUAGCAUCCAUCUCUUUGCGCUUAUUGUCAAUCACAAUAGCGCGGUUCACAAGUUCCUGGAAGCUGGGUAAACAUUGGACAUCAACUGGAGUUGCAGGCCAUCAUACAGUCCUUUCAGGAAACGACGUUGCUUGUCGGAAUCCUUGGCUACUUCACCCGGAGCGUAACGUGACAAUUGAGCGAACUUGUCACGGUACUCAGCGACGGUCAUGGAGCCUUGCUUGAGAGCAUGGAACUCCUCUUGUUUGAGCUCGAUGAGCCCCUCUGGAAUGUGGUAAGACCGGAAACUCUCGGCGAAUUCCCUCCAAGUGACAGGCGGUGCGUUGUCUGGGCGUCCAUAUUGGUAGGACUCCCACCACUCCUGUGCAGCCCCUUGCAGUUGUCCGGAGGCAUACAACACCUUCUCCAUGUCAUUGCACUAAGCAAUGUUCAGCUGCUUCUCCAUAGCUCUUAACCAAUCAUCAGCUUUUAAAGGGUCACUAGCAUGUGUAAAAAUAGGGGGACGUCCCUUCAUGAACUCUCCCCUCUUAUCUCGAACCUGGACCGGUGGUGGUACGACGGCGGGCUGGUGAUCCAGGCGAUCCAUCAUAGUUUGCAUCAAUUGAGUUUGCAUCAACAUGAGCUGCUCCAUUGUCACAGGCUGUGGUGGUGGCGGUGGGUCCACCGGUGCGCCACGGCCACGUCCACGGCCACGGCCUCGACCUCGACCACGGCUUCUUCCUCCUUCAUCAGCCAUCUGUUUCCAACAAAGGAAUAAGCUUUUAGAGGUCUUUCCAUAAUUAAUAACUGAUUAUAAUAUCAAAUAGACUUUGCUGAAAUUUUUCUGGACAGGAUGCAAAAUCAGCAGUGCAGUAUUUAACUCAUAACUCGAGUUUCUGAGAUCCAACAGAGGCGUGCCAUACAUGUUUGGAAAGCUUAUAAAAUUUGUUACAACUUUUGUUCAGAUCACUUUUACAGAUUCUGAACUUAUCUUGAUCAAAAACAGGGGUAAAGCGAAUCUGUUCUGGGUUCUAGUCUGCGCAAUAGUCCCAGAUUGUAACAAGGAUAUCUCCCAGAUCCGAGCAGGUUUUGACAUAGUUCCAGUUGCAAAUGAGCGAUACAUCAGUCUAGUUUCCUCCACAAAAAUUUCAGAGUUUUUGGACGUACCACUUCAGAGAUAAAAGUUAAACAUCACAGGCUGCUCCAGAAAAACAGCACAGCAACAGCAGAAUAUACCAACCCAACUAAGCAUUCGAUAAUUAAACUUAAGAUAACAGAAGUUUGUAGAUAAAUCCACAACCUUCCAGCAGUCAUUACAAAGAUUCGAAUCAUGCAAAUACAUAACCAAAUUUAACAGACACAUCAAUUGUUCACAAGCACUCCAAACUCAACUGACACAACGAAACUACGAAAUAAAACAACUAUGGCAUCCUAGGCCUAUGGUGCGUCCCCGAAGAUGCUAGGAGGUGCGGUCUUCUUCUUGUAGAGCGGUGGCAACUCAAACUGCUCUCUAAGGCUGUCCACCAUCUCCUGGAAGCGAUCUAUGGAAUCCUGCUGAUCACGUAGCUCCUCCUGUAGAUCAUCGUUGGCCAUCUGCAGAACAUGCAUAUGCCUAACAGUUGCAUCCAAUGGCGUGUCAACCUCCUGCGGUUCUCGAUAGACCAAGUACCAAUAGUAGAAUCAUGGCGAGGGAGAAACUUGUACUGGUCUGCUCUCAUGGCCUCAUAGCGAAGGCCAUGGUAGUGAGUGUAAGCCAUCUGGGCGGCGUCCUCCAUGCUGUCCUGUGCCUCAGCUCGCCUAGCAACGUGACCAUGGAUGCUCUCUACCAUAUAGCUAUCAUGUGCCUCAUUCCCCACUGUGAUGGUAAGAUCCGACCUCCAGUAUGUGGCCUCAUAGGGGUGUGUGUACUCUGCACAGCAGUACCUAAUGCUAAUCUCCUUAUCAGCAUAGUAAGUAUCCAGCAUCUCCCUAAGCAAGUUGUGGAAGUAGGCUGUCAUUGAAGGAUACUUGUAGUGGAUGGUGGUAGUCCAUCCUGGGUUUUCUUCCUCAGGACCAUCUGGAGACACCACCUCUGGUACAGCAGGAGCAGCAGGUGCAACUGGUGAAGCUGGUGGUGUAGGUGCAGCAAGUGCCACUGGAACAGCUGGUGGCGUGGGUGCAGUGGGUGGAACAGGUGCAGCUGCUACAGGAGAGUCCAUCCCGUUUUCAUCAUCAUCAUCCACCUCUGUCAUCAUCUCUGGGUCCUCUUCCUCCAUAGGGACGGUCUCGUCGUCGGAGAUGUCCACCACUGGCUGGGACGACUGGGGUGUGAACUGAGAGAUGUAGCUCCUGGUGCUGGCGCGACGAGACCUCGUGACAGGCGGCAUCUAUAGAUUUUAUAUUAAGAUUAGAUCAACAUUUUGGCAAUGGAAUAAGUGAUAUGAGCAUAAUAAAAUUUAUAAAAUAACAAAAAGUAAGGUAGAAAGCAUUAAAUAAAUAAAACAAAGACACUAUAUCGACCAUUGCUACCUAGGCUUGCGUCCUACAGUCAACACCGCUUUGAUACCAAUUUGUCACACCCAAUUUCAAGGAAGAAAUUGAAUGCAUAAACUUAUGUGCGCCCAGAGAUCAAUCACACACAUAAGUCACAAAUUAAAUACCAUCAUCGCAGUGUUUACAACAAACGUAGUUAUUACAUCACAAAAUCUGGCAUAACAGCGGAAAUAUAAAUAUGAUAAUCUAAGAUAACUAUCUCAUGGCCCUCACACAGGGAAGGUCGACUGGUGAAGCACAAGCCUAAUAGUCCUCCGGGUAGUCCUCAUAGCUACCACCAUCUGUUACCCAUCCGGGAUUUUUAUCCAAAGAAAAGAAAUAUACAAACGUGAGUACAUCUCGUACUCCACAAGCAUAGCAUGAGGAUUUAUGAGGCUCAAACAGGCUAAACUAGGUUCACUACAUCAGCUUUUAGUAGAUCAGUGUUUUAUCAUUAAUUAUUAUAAUUUAUGCUUAAGCCCCCAAAUAUCCCAUAUGAUCAGUUAUUAGAACCAUAGUAAGUCAUUAAGUCACAUUAAAGCAUAAUUGUACAUCAUCAUGUACCAUAAAGCCAUCAGUAACCAAUUAUUCUGUGAGUUUUCCGGGCUGCUCGUGACCGUGAGCACGGCUGUUAUAACAGUUAUACACUCUGCAGAGGUUGUGCACUUUCACCGUGAGUCGUGUUGCCCAUAUGCCCGGGAUCCGUCGACCCCCAAACACUACCAAGGUGAGCGGGCAGGGUACACUAUGAAGCCUUCCAUAGGCCUAUUCUAACCAGUUAGGGCCAUGAGGUUUCCUCGACAGGCAGAUGUAGAAAACCCCCCUUUUCUAUGGCACAUUUCCAUCAUGGCUAUACUCAUAGAAACAGGGGCAGCCCUACACCCAAAGUGGCAAGCGCCUCUUGCGCCCUUUCGGGUAACCUCUAACGAGUUAGAAAAGAUCCUAUUACUAAGCUAAAGUCAGAGCCAUGUGACUCUCCCGGUUGCACUGUAAGUCCCAGCUUUUGCCGACAGAUAAGUCCUUACGGAGGGUCUGGGACAACAUGACCAACAGUCAUUUGUACAAUAGCCCUAUGUUCCAUUUAUCAUAAUCAUGUUUAAUCAAUUAACCAUGGUUCCAUCACUGAUUUCAGAUCAUAUAUAAUUGGAGUUAGAGCACUAGCACUUCUACCCAUAUGCAAUAAAAACCCUUGAGAACAAGGUAAUUGUCAUCAACAGCUAGGAUGUUCUUAUAGUUUGCAAUAUUGUACACAUGCAGGGUGAAAUGCUUAAAAAUGAGUAGGACAACAAGGUAGGCACAUGCUAUACUUGCCUUGGUUCACGUACUCCUGCUGGUCUUGCUGGUCCCCAAAGAGCUCCGGACUCCCGAAAUACUCCUCAUCGUAUGAGCUCGACCAACACAUCACAAUCAUCACGCAUACCAAGACAAACGUGCAAGAGAACAAUUCCUAAAGUUAGAACAGUACACCAGCAGUAAAUAAAUUAAAUAAAAGUUUUCCAAAAUCAUCUACGUGCUGCUACGAUCACGUCAACGCGAAAUUCACGAAAAACGGACUUACGACGCGAAAGUUACGCUCUUAACGGGAUUUCGACAGCAAUCUACGGACUUGUAAUUAACUAGAAAAUCUAACAGUGGUAAACCUAAACAACAGUGGUACCAACACGAAGCUUACGAAAUUACGAACCUAACGCAACUUGAACGGAUCAAUUCGGAGUUCAAACGACGAUUUUAUAGCUAAAACAAUAUGGUGGCAAUUCUGUAAAUAAAGCAGAGUUUAAACGAAUUUAAAUAAAUAAAUUAAAUUCUGGAAAUUCCUCUGGCCGAGGACUGCACGCACGAAAAUGGAAUCCCUGAGGGGCUCUUUAACAAAAUAUCAUAUGAAGGGGUACGGGGCAUUGUAGGCCGUUGGAUCACAGAUGAACGCGCUGGAUUAAAAGAAAAAAAAUAAAAAAAAGAGAGAGAGAGGAAGGGGACGGCGCACAGGCCAGCUCCGGCCAGAACACGGUGGCCACCAUGGCCGGCCGCAAGGAAGCUCGCCGGAGCAAGAGAAUAAGGAC
rnacentral:lncRNA from 1 species